UGGGGAAUAUUGCACAAUGGGCGCAAGCCUGAUGCAGCAACGCCGCGUGAGGGAUGACGGCCUUCGGGUUGUAAACCUCUUUUAGCAGGGAAGAAGCGAAAGUGACGGUACCUGCAGAAAAAGCACCGGCUAACUACGUGCCAGCAGCCGCGGUAAUACGUAGGGUGCAAGCGUUGUCCGGAAUUAUUGGGCGUAAAGAGCUCGUAGGCGGUCUGUCGCGUCUGCUGUGAAAUCCCGAGGCUCAACCUCGGGCCUGCAGUGGGUACGGGCAGACUAGAGUGCGGUAGGGGAGAAUGGAACUCCUGGUGUAGCGGUGGGAUGCGCAGAUAUCAGGAAGAACACCGAUGGCGAAGGCAGUUCUCUGGGCCGUAACUGACGCUGAGGAGCGAAAGCGUGGGGAGCGAACAGGAUUAGAUACCCUGGUAGUCCACGCCGUAAACGUUGGGCGCUAGAUGUGGGGACCAUUCCACGGUUUCCGUGUCGCAGCUAACGCAUU
rnacentral:rRNA from 1 species